CCCUUAGACGUUCUGGGCCGCACGCGCGCUACACUGACCAGUGCAACAAGCAUCCGUCCUUGGCCGACAGGCUCGGGCAAUCUUUGAACGCUGGUCGUGAUGGGGAUAGACUUUUGCAAUUUUUGGUCUUCAACGAGGAAUUCCUAGUAAACGCAAGUCAUCAACUUGCAUUGAUUACGUCCCUGCCCUUUGUACACACCGCCCGUCGCACCUACCGAUUGAAUGGUCCGGUGAAGCCUCCGGAUGGGCGCGCACCUCGGUGCCGCCGAGAAGUUGGCUAAACCUUACCAUUUAGAGGAAGGUGAAGUCGUAACA
rnacentral:rRNA from 1 species